UACAGAGGGGGCAAGCGUUGUUCGGAAUUACUGGGCGUAAAGGGCGCGUAGGCGGCCUGCUAAGUCGAACGUGAAAUCCCCGGGCUUAACCCGGGAACUGCGUCCGAUACUGGUGGGCUUGAAUCCGGGAGAGGGAUGUGGAAUUCCAGGUGUAGCGGUGAAAUGCGUAGAUAUCUGGAGGAACACCGGUGGCGAAGGCGGCAUCCUGGACCGGUAUUGACGCUGAGGCGCGAAAGCGUGGGGAGCGAACAGG
rnacentral:rRNA from 1 species